UAGUAGAAAAUGCAAACUAAACGAAACGAAUACAGUACCUAAGCUACUUUUCAUGGAUGGAUGGAUAAAAACAUCAUCGUAUGCUUAUUAUCAACCCCUUCUCUUAUGCAGGAACCAGGUUGCUAACACACGCACGAAGAGCAACUGCCUUUCGAACUGCGCUCUGUGUGCUGCACUUGCAUUGGUGUGCAAGUGGAGGAGUGCUCGAGUUAAUGCCCUGCGGCACUAUAAUAGCUGUCGAAAUAUUCUGCUUAAGACAUCUAUGACCGUUGUGACAUCCUACCAGCUCAAACAUCACCCUAAAAGCAGUUUGACUGCAUGUAUUUGACUUCACAGACACGUUGUGCUCUUGGUCAGUGGCCGGUCGUCUUCGCUAUGAACAAGAAGAGGAAGACGUGGGAAUGAAACAAGGAUGGAACAACGUGGACAGAGGGGGCUCUGCACAGAAGUAUAUUCAUCGCAGGAUGCAGCGACCUCCUAAAAAAGAAUUCUGCUGCCGAAAUCGACGAACUGUUGGACGUCCCGUUGCCACAGGAUCAAGUCAGUGCCCUGGUUGACAAUAACGUGCCAACUGGCAGUGAUGACGAAUGCCAUGAGCGCGAAGGAGACAACAACGAUGAAGCAGAGAUGGAGCGACAUCGUCGAUAGCAGUGAGACGGACGAUAAUGACACGGAGACUGAGAGCGAUGCAGAGGAACAAUGCGUGAAAAAACAGCGUCAAGUACAAAGUGACACGCGGAAGGUAUGGCGCUAGGACAAAAGGGAUAUAGCUCCAUCUCCUAAGCUCCUUAAUGAGCUCAAGCCUAAAGCUACAGCUACAAUUGGGAAAAUUCCCCUGAAAAUGUUCAGAAUCAUGUUUGGUGAAGUCCUUAUCGAGCUUUUGACAUUUGAAUGAAACCGGUAAAAAAUUUGUGGUCGCCUCAGAAUGAAAGCUAUAUCUCAAAAUGAGAGGGAGUGUUCUUGGGCAUAUGUAUGCAAUUUGAUUGUUUACAUAUCAUUUGGGGGCCUCUACUGUUCGGCGAACACAAGGCAAGAUAUGGUAGCGGAUGCCAUGACCGUCAGUUGUUGGGACGAAAUACUGUC